rnacentral:lncRNA from 1 species
GUUCCUUCUUUCAUCUCCUCUUGUAACACUCUGCCUUCUCUUUUGGACAAGACGGCAUACACACGACCUAGAACUUCCGCAGUAGCCAUAAUUUCGCAGGUAUACAUUGCUGCCAUAAGCCUCUGUGGUUUUGCUUGCAAAGCAUAACGACAUGCUUCCUUCAUGGUGGCUAUCAGCUGUCCAGAGAAGGGACCAUAACAAUCUGUAAGUAAAACUUCUCCCUUGUUUUUACUAUUUUUUUCAAGUGACUUUGGAACACUUUGACUGCUCUGUUCGUGUUCAUUCUCACUGCAAGUGUCAACAGUGCAAUUGCUUGUUGGAGAAACAGUAUCUUCACUUUCUUGAUGUUCUACAGCACCACAUUCCCCUGAAUCCCGACUUUUAGUUAGAAGCGUCUCUCCAACCUUAUUCAUUUCCCAUUUUUCCACUGUAAAACACACACCCAUGAGGGGUUCUUCACACAUGGGACCUGAAAGCGUAGCCAGCUGAAAUCCACUUACUAUGCUGUUGUCAAAAUCUCCAUACUUACUUACUUCUUUCUCAGUAUUCUCAAGGCACUGCCACACAGAAUUUUUAUAACCCUCAAAUUUAUGCAACAAAAUAUUAGGCCCACAUUUCCGUGGUCCAAAUGACCAGAUAUGAUCAACUGCAUUUCUCCACUUCCUUCCCUGCAGAUUUUGCUCUAAUUUUUGUUUGAAUUCCUUUAUUUUGUCCAUAGUCUUCUGAUUUAUUUCAUGAGCAUUUUUAUCUUCAUUCAGAGACGUGCUGAGUUGCUCCAUAGUUCGAAUUAAGUCACUGUUUUCU